UACGUAGGUGGCAAGCGUUGUCCGGAUUUACUGGGCGUAAAGAGCGCGCAGGCGGUCGAUUUAGUCGCGUGUGAAAGCCCCCGGCUCAACUGGGGAGGGUCACGCGAUACUGAUCGACUCGAAGGCAGGAGAGGGUAGUGGAAUUCCCGGUGUAGUGGUGAAAUGCGUAGAUAUCGGGAGGAACACCAGUGGCGAAGGCGAGUCUCUGGCCUAAUACUGACGCUGAUGCGCGAAAGCUAGGGGAGCAAACGGG
rnacentral:rRNA from 1 species